AUACGUAGGGUGCGAGCGUUGUCCGGAAUUACUGGGCGUAAAGAGCUCGUAGGUGGUUUGUCGCGUCGUCUGUGAAAUUCCGGGGCUUAACUCCGGGCGUGCAGGCGAUACGGGCAUAACUUGAGUACUGUAGGGGAGACUGGAAUUCCUGGUGUAGCGGUGAAAUGCGCAGAUAUCAGGAGGAACACCGGUGGCGAAGGCGGGUCUCUGGGCAGUAACUGACGCUGAGGAGCGAAAGCAUGGGUAGCGAACAGGAUUAGAUACCCUGGUAGUCCAUGCCGUAAACGGUGGGCGCUAGGUGUAGGGGUCUUCCACGACUUCUGUGCCGUAGCUAACGCAUUAAGCGCCCCGCCUGGGGAGUACGGCCGCAAGGUUGAAACUCAAAGGAAUUGACGGGG
rnacentral:rRNA from 1 species